rnacentral:lncRNA from 1 species
CCGUAUCUCGGUGCUACAUUAUUAUUCCACUUUUAUUACCGUGAAUAUUAUUUUGGUAGAGGUUUUAUUCCCAACAGAUUUAUCCAGUUCAAGUUGUUCAGUUUCUACUCAUCUAGGUAGAUUGUAUUAUAUUUAUAUUACUACAUCCUCUUAAUCUACUUGAUCGCAAAUGAAGUUGGUUUAUGUUCUAUCGUAGUUUUAGUCUAGAGUGAGCAUUGUCCUUAAGCUUCAGCUGAUGGGGAGGAGAAGUCUCAAUAUAUCCUGUGGUUUCAGGCCAGCAAGCGGCGAAAUCACGAUUUUCACCAUGUGAAGUGUGAUUCGUGCAUAUAAUUAAGCACUCUAGCUCGUACAUAGGCUGCAAUCAUCAUUAUUAGGUCUCCAAUAAUAUUAACUUAAGUAUCAUCAUUACCCUCAAAGAUUAUAUAAUUACCUCUUCAUCUUGGAUUCAAAUCUUGAGAAAAAAAUUACAUUUAAUAGCAAGCGUGUUAAAUUAAUUAGACCUCAAAAUAAAUAUCGGACACUAAAUAAAAAAUAAAAAGAAAUAUCAUCAUCAUCAAUUGGGCACAAUGUAUAAUAUGAAUAUAUGAGAUUAGCAUGGGCAACUUUGACUUUUUUAUGAAACGAAAAGCAUAAAAAUUUUCAGUACAACAGAAAUAGGGAUACUAACCCAAAAAAAAAUACUAGAAAGAUAAUUGAACAAAAAUACAAAGAUUUAUAGCCUUUAAAAUGUAAUGUGAAAGAUUUUAAUUCAGUCAUAUAUAACAAGGGACAAACAAAUUAAAAUCUUGGUAAUAAUCUCGAAAAUACUAUCAUUCUAACUGCCAACAAUAUUUCAAGAAGAACAAACUGGCUGGAGAAAAUAUCUUUCUCUUUUUCACUAAAUUCCUUAUUCAAAACAAAAACCGGUGCCAGUGUAUAAUGAGUAUAUAGUGAGUAUACAAACAUUAUACACCGAAGAUAAACUGAUUAUGCAUAGAGUAUUCGUGAUUGUAUAUCUUAACAUUCAAUGUAUACUUUGUAUAAUCAGUAUAUAAGAGGAUAAAUAAUUAAUUAUACAUAACAGCUUAUUUUGAUGGUUGUUAUAUUUUAUAUUGCAUCAUAUUGUUACUUUAAACAUAAUAUUUUUGAGUAUUACUUAAAUUUUAUUAUACCGUAUCAUUAAAUCCGUUAUUACAUGACGACGAAAAGUGCAACUUUAUGGAACAAUCAAUUUGGUGUGAUCAU